AUAGUUUAAGCCGGCCAUGUUUUUCCAAAAUAUAAUCGAGGUGACACAAUACCGAAACGAGAUAAACAUCUGCUUGAGUAGUCUCACGAAACUUAUUAUAUUCUAUCCACAAAAUCCACAUGUGCACACGGCUAACUACAGCUGGCUAACAACUAUUGGCAACCAUAUUUAGUAUUUGUGGUCAAUGAUUGAUUGGUCUAAGAGCGGUCAUUUUUUCGGACGAUCCUCGGGAAUGAUACACCUGUAUUCUUACAUCAUGGGUUAGAUUGUCUCAAAUGGGCUAGGAUUAGUUAUCAUACAUCAGUGAUUCUGCGAAAUGUGUCUUGAUCGCAAUCCAUUAAAAAGGAGAUAGAAGAAAUAAUACACUAAAGAGGAGGCAUGGCACUGAUUGUACAUAGCAUAGCUUCUUUAUUUCUUUUUAUUCUUUAUGAUCAGAUUACGUUUGAAUUCUGGCAUCAGUGAAUUUUCUCCUUUAAAGGUUAAAUAAAAUUAUGUGUUAUAAUUAUGGAGCAAAAUAAAAAAAAAGACGAAUAGCGGUAAAACUCCACCUGAUAUUAUUUUGGAAGUUGUUAGAGCAGUGAAAAUACAUAAUUUGUUCAUCGGACAAGUCGCUUUAGAAUAAAAUAUGAAUUAUUGUACUUUAUAUCGUUACUGCAAGAGAAUUCCAGAAGAGGAUUAUUUACAUGAAAACGCUGUUCCAAAAAUUCACAUGGGUUAUGCUAAAUUUAAGCAGAUUUUUACUGAUUCUUAAGAACAGUAAUUAGUUGAAUAUAUUCUAUAUGCUUCGGAUAUUUAUUUCGGUCUUUCUCCUAAGGAAAUCAGAAUUUUGACUUAUAAUAUAGCCUGCUAUAACUCAAUUGAAAUGCCUCCGUUUUGGUAUAUAAAUAAAAUGGCAGGAAAAGAUUGGUUUUAUGCAUUUAUAAAAUGUUACAAUAAACUUUCGGUUCGAAAACCAGAAGCAACAAAUAAAGCAAGAACUACCUGCAGCUUCAAUAAAACUGUUGCCUUCUUUUACACAAAUUUGGAAAAGAUUUUAUCACAUCACUAUUUUAAUCCUUAAGAUAUGGAAUAUGAAUGAAACAGGAGUCACAACAAUUCAGAUAGAAUAUUUGCUCGGGAAAGCAACACUCGCUACAAGGAAGUAGGAAGCAUUGUUUCAGCUAAACGCAAUUUGUUAUUCUGAUUUUUGCUAUAGGAAAUUAGAUACCACCUUUCUUUGUAUUUUCUCGUAUACAUUUUAAGGUUCAUUUUAUCGCAUUAGGUCCACCUGAAUCAAGUGGUGCAAAUAAAUCAGGUUGGAUGCAAGAAAAGGAUUUUGAACAAUUGUUGAGACACUUUCAUAGUUAUGCAAAAUGUACAACUGAGAAACCAGUUUUAUUGCUGUUGGACAAUUACAAUUUGCAUCUCAGUAUUGAAGGAAUAAAAUUAUGCAAAACAAAACAGAAUUGUAAUGCUAUUUUUUCCACUGUAUUGUUCGCACUGGUUGUGACCAUUAGAAUAGUAUAUGGAUUAUAAGAAAAAUACAUCAACUCCGCUUGUGAUGCAUGAAUGUUAAACCAUCUUGAUCGCAACAUAUCUAUUUAUAAUAUUCUUGAGGCUAUUGCAGUUGCUUAUCCACUUGCUAUGACAUCAGCAAAUAUUCAAGCAGGCUUUAAAUGCAUUGCAUAUUUCACUUUAAUAAGGAAAUUUUUAUGGACUUGGAUUUUGCUCCAAAUCAUAUUACAGAUAGGCUACUUUCUGAGGAAAAUAGCAAUAAUAGUGAACAGCAAUCUAUAAGAAAAAGUGCAGCAAACAUGAUGGAAAUAAGUAACCUUUCAGGAAAUAUUUGCCAAUCGUCUACUUCUGCAUCAAACCAAGGUUUUGAAUAAUUAACUCUAGAAGAUAUUCGUUCUUUUCCUAAAGCUAGUCCAUGGAAGAAUUCUCGACAAAUGACAAGAAAACGAAAGACAGCUAUUCUUGCUAAUAUAUGAAUAAAAGCAAAACUUGAAUUAAAGAA